GCUCCCACCCCGCGCGACUCCUGUGGCCUCAGCACAGGAAACUGGGAGCCACCCUCCUCUAACCUUUGCUGCAGGCAGGUAGGAGCCUGGCCGUUGAGCCCAGGGCAGCAGAGGCCUUCCCUGCACAGCUCUGUGCGGCGUCCGAGUGACCUCGGGCCCUCUGAGGAGAUAAGGUGUGUCAGUUUGGUUCUCUCGGGAAACUUGGAGUGGGUGACACACAGCCGCUCGAGGCACCCUGAGCCCUAGACCCUGGCUGCACGUGGCCCUGCUUUGGGUGGGAAGAAGGCGGGAGUUAAAGGCCCCCGUCUGGAGUCGAGUUUACCUGGCUGCUCUCAGUGGGGCCGUAUUUCCCUGCACUCCUGUUUCGCUCCAUCGUUCACAAGCCGCUUUGAAAUCCGUUAUCUCAUUUUACCCUCUCAGCGGUUCUGUGAUGCGGGCAGAUCCGUUUCCACGUCUUCUGUUCUUUGAGGAUCUUACCAUGGCUCCCGGAGGUGGAGAGCCUUGGCCAAGGGCGUGGACCGAGUUCGCCGAGGUGGGAGCAGACUCUCGGGCCUCUGGGGACCCUGUUCCUUCCUUGCUGUCACCCCAGGGACCUGGCUCCCGUAAUGGCCCAGGUUUGCCUCAGCCACCUGUGAGCCCCUGACCCACCUGCGAGGAGCACUGGGUGGUUUCAGCUCACUUCUGAGCCUUUGGGUUCCCGGGCCUCAGUCUUCCCCCCGAUGAAUGGGCGUAGUUCGCGGCCCCGGGGCUGACCCUGUGUCUGGGGUAGUUAGCUUUUGGAAGAGCCGUCUGCCGGGAAGGAUCCACCCUGUGUCCACCUUGCACCCCUGCCUUGGUCUGACCUGAACACCCUGUCGUUCUAGAAACGGGGUGCCGUGUGUGCUGGCUUCUUUUCUUUUUAAUGCAAGCUGGUGAGGGCCCAAGCUGGAGCCUGCAGCCGCAGUCAGCAUAUGGCCUUAAACCUGUGACGUGGGAUCUUCCCGCCCCAGUGUGAGCUCCCCAAGGCUAUGGGCGAGCCCCGUGCAUCUGUAUCUGGGUCGCAGUGUGAUGGAAGCUGGGUCGCAGUGGAAGUCAGGCAGCAGCAGUACUGCAUCUGGAAAAGGACUAUCAGUUCAAGAAACUUCUGAUUAAGACAUUUGCAAAAGAAGUCUUUUUGGAGAAGUGGGCCUUUGUCUCGGUGGGGGGUCAAUAGCAGCCGAGGGGAGCAGCUGUGUGCCCCGAGGGCCCUGGGGUUUGUGACAGAUGAACGUAGCCUGGGUUGUGUGACUGUGUUUUCCUUGAGAUGCUCUACUGGAACUUUCUCCCACAUGGAGCAGAUUUUUCUGUCCAAGUCACACUUCCUUUUUGAGAAGUCUAACUGUAAUUUUAUGGGGUGAUCUGCUCAUUCAGCCCGAAAAAAUGACCUGCCAAGAGCCAAACGCAUUGCCUUUGGCUCUGGGAACGGGGUCUGGUUCCCGCCUUCGCGGCCGACGGGAGAAGGGGCGAUGUCGGCUCUGGGAAACGGGACACGCGGUCCUUCCCCACGGCUGUUUCCUGUCUCCACGCCGGCAUCUCGCAGCUCUUAGGAGGCAGGCGGGGCCGUGGACACAGACAGUCAAAGGAAGGUGUCCUGGUCAACACAGCAGCUGCGUGUCUGUUUUCCCUCCACCCAGCUCUCUGACUUUGGAUAAAGUCACCCACGGUCGCUGAAUGACCUUUCUUGUCUGCUAUGCUUUCCUCGAAGGGUUUUGCAAGCGUCGGUGAGGUACUUUGUGUGCAAGUUGCUUGUCCUUUUUUAAAACUUGAAGCAUAGGUGAUUUUCAGUAUUAGCUUCAGAUGAUUAAGUAUGUUUUACAGAUUCUGCUCCCUUAAAAGUUAUCAUAAAAGAAUGGCUGUAAUUCACAGGGCUGUAUGUAGUGUUAAAUUUUGGAAAACUCUCAAGCCUAAAUGUAUUUUCAAAACAUGCAAUUGUUUUUUUGAAAUAUAUUCAGCAUGGUCACUUACUGGGCCCCUGGCACUGCUUUAACGGUGCCAGGAUGCAGGACUUAAAGCCUGAAUUCCCUUAGUGGUGAGUACCACUGAGACAGAAUGCACUGAUUUGCUCAGAAAAAGAAAGGAGCAUUUUGUAACUCUCACUGUGUAGAGCGUCUCAUAGCACCUUCCUUCCAUUCAUGGGCGUGUUUUACAGAAAUUACCUCCACAGUUGAAGUAUUUUCUCUGGCCGCACGCGGCUCUGAGCAUGUUGCAGACAUGAAGUCAUUUAAUCCUCCUUCCAACUGCAUCAGGACUGUGGCAUUACAGUCCUCAUCUUACAGACCAAACACAGGCACAGAGAAGUCAAGCAACUCGCUGGAGAUCACACAGCUCUUGGGUGGUCCUUCCAGGAUUGCAGCCCAAGCAUCCGUCCCGGAGUCCGUGGCGGGGCCACUGCUGAAGGGCUGCUUCCUUCUCACCCUACUCUUCUCCUCCUGAACAGUGAGCCCGUGGGCGCCGGGACCACAUCUGUUCAUUUACUGCUGUACCCAGUGCCGGCCACUGUCUGGCACACAAGAGGCAUUUGUUGAAUGAUGGAGGAUCUUCUCAUAUUUAUAUCUUUAUUAAAUCCUUGCACAACCCUGUUAUCAUUUGACCCUUAGAGCUGCGGGGUAGGGUCACGUACACACAGGUACCCUCUGCCUGGCAUGGCUAGGUCCAGACUAGACCUAGAUGAGGAAACAAAUCUUUGGAGUUCCUGCUGUGGCUCAGCCGGUUAAGAACCAUGUCCAUGAGGAUACGGGUUCCAUCCCUGGCCUUGCUCAGGGGGUUAAGGAUCUGGCGUUGCUUGUGAGCUGUGGUGCAGGUCGCAGACACGGCCGGGAUCUGGUGUGGCUGUGGCUGGGGCGUAGACCUGCAGCUGCAGCUCCAAUUCAACAACCCCUAGCCUGG
ensembl:lncRNA